UCCGUAGGCGGUGUAGCAAGUCGAUAGUGAAAUCUCUGGGCUUAACUCAGAGGCUGCUAACGAAACUGCUAUGCUAGAGUGUGAGAGAGGCGAGUGGAAUUACGGGUGUAGCGGUGAAAUGCGUAGAUAUCCGUAGGAACAUCCGAGGCGAAGGCGGCUCGCUGGAUCACAACUGACGCUGAGGGACGAAAGCUAGGGGAGCAAACAGGAUUAGAUACCCUGGUAGUCCUAGCCCUAAACCAUCAGGACUUGGGGUUUGCCCUGUACGGGGCAAGUCCCGUAGGCUAACGCGUUAAGUCCUGCGCCUGGGGAGUACGGUCGCAAGGCUGAA
rnacentral:rRNA from 1 species